GAUGAACGCUGACAGAAUGCUUAACACAUGCAAGUCAACUGUGGCGGACGGGUGAGUAACGCGUAAAGAACUUGCCUCACAGAUAGGGACAACAUUUGGAAACGAAUGCUAAUACCUGAUACUGUGAGAGAGUUUUGCGUCCCAUGAGCUAGUUGGGGAGGUAACGGCUCACCAAGGCGAUGAUGGGUAGCCGACCUGGGAGGGUGAUCGGCCACAAGGGGACUGGGACACGGCCCUUACGCCUACGGGAGGCAGGAGUGAGGAACAUUGGACAAAAGACCAAAGUCUGAUCCAGCAAUUCGGUGUGCACGAUGAAGUUUUCGGAAUGUAAAGUGCUUUCAGUUGGGAAGCGGUACCAACAGAAGAAGUGACGGCUAAAUACGUGCCAGCAGCCGCGGUAAUUC
rnacentral:rRNA from 1 species